rnacentral:rRNA from 1 species
GACGAACGCUGGCGGCGUGCUUAACACAUGCAAGUCGAACGGACAGGCGCUGCUUUUGUUGGGUUCUCGAGUGGCGAACGGGUGUGUAACACGUGAGUAACCUGCCCUUGUCUUUGUGAUAACUUCAGGAAACUGGGGCUCAUACCGGGUAGGAUCUCCUGCUGCAUGUUGUGCGUUGGAGAGUUUCGGCGGUUGUGGAUGGACUCGCGGCUUAUCAGCUUGUUGGUGGGGUAGUGGCUUACCAAGGCUUUGACGGGUAGCCGGCCUGAGAGGGUGACCGGCGACAUUGGGACUGAGAUAGGGCGCAGACUCCUACGGGAGGCAGCAGUGGAGAAUAUUGCACAAUGGGCGGAAGCCUGAUGCAGAAACGCCGCGUGCGGGAUGACGGCCUUCGGGUUGUAAACCGAUUUCGCCUGUGACGAAGCGUGAGUGACGGUAAUGGGUAAAGAAGCAACGGCUAACUACGUG